rnacentral:rRNA from 1 species
GGGGAGGGGGGUGGCUACACUGCAGUCGAACGGCAGCACAGAGGAGCUUGCUCCUUGGGUGGCCAGUGGCGGACGGGUGAGGAAUACAUCGGAAUCUACUUUUUCGUGGGGGAUAACGUAGGGAAACUUACGCUAAUACCGCAUACGACCUACGGGUGAAAGCCGGGGAUCUUCGGACCUUGCGCGAUUGAAUGAGCCGAUGUCGGAUUAUCUAGUUGGCGGGGUAAAGGCCCCCCAAGGCAACAAUCCCUACUUGGCCUGACAGGGUGAUCAGCCCCCCUGGAACUGAGACACGGUCCCAACUCCUCCGGGAGGAAGCAAUGGGGAAUAUUGGACAAUGGGCCCAAGCAUGAUCCCGCCCUCCCCCGGGGGGGAAAAAAGCGUCCCAGGGUUAAACCCCUUUUGUUGGGGAAAAAACCCACGGGCCAAUAACUGCUUGGGGUAACUGGCCCCCCGAAACAAACACCCGCUAAAUUCCCGCCUGCCAACACGCGAGGACAAACGGGGGGGCCGUUGCUCGCAAUCCUUUUCCGGAAUACUUGCCCGCGAGGCGCUCUCAUGCCGCUUCUUAAGCCCGAUGCUCAACCCCGCGGCUGAACUGUGAACGCCACUACAAACAUGCGGGAAAGAGGAAUCAGAAACCCCGUGGUAUUCCUCCCAUAUCCCCGAGAAAUAGCGGGGAACAGCCAUGGAACAAGGCUCGUUUCGUGGUGCCUCCACUGGCCUGUGAGGGCACCCAACGCUGAUGGCGCCCUACGCGGAAUAAACACCACUGGUUAUUCCUGUGCCCCCGAGCACCUAAACCCAGGAAGUCUGUGUUGCC